rnacentral:misc_RNA from 1 species
AACGCACAUUGCGCCCUUUGGUAUUCCGAAGGGCAUGCCUGUUCGAGCGUCAUUACAACCCUCAAGCAUAGCUUGGUUUUGGACGUCGUCACUCAUCUGGCGGGUCUUAAAAGCAGUGGCGGUGCCGUUGAGGCCCUGAGCGUAGUAAAUAUCCUCGCUAUAGGGACCCGGCGGUUGCUUGCCAUCAAACCCUUUUUUCUAAGUUUGACCUCGGAUCAGGUAGGGAUACCCGCUGAACUUAA